UGCUCUUGCUGUUUGUCUGUUCGCCCUUCUUCUCCGGUAGCUUCUGUUGAAUUCUCUUUGUUAUGGCUGAUUCUGCCCAGCACUACUGCUUCUUCUUGUGACUGUGGCUGAUUUUGCUGGAUACUAUGUAUUUGACAGUGCACCACAGAGGCAGAAAUCUGAGACUUGAAAUAUAUACAUUUCACGUGAUGUUUAACAAUAGGAUGGCCCAAAUAAUACUUCGAGAAGACAGAGUCAAGUGGUGGAUGCUAAGAAAACUUUGCCACUUAUACCAUGUGCUCAUGAUCAAGAACCCUGUGAUGUCACUACUUGUGACAAUGUGUCAUUUCAUAGACACCUGAGGUUGCCGUUCUGAGAUUUGAAAUAUGAAAGCAUAGCAGAGAAAUGUAUCCCAAAAUUGAAUAAACUAGAGCUCUGA
rnacentral:lncRNA from 1 species